rnacentral:rRNA from 1 species
AGGAGAGGAUGAACGUCAAGUCAUCAUGGCCUUUAUGCCUAGGGCCCACACACGUGCAACAAUGGCCGGUACAGACGGAGGCAAUGCCGAGAGGCGGAGCAAACCCGAGAAAAACCGGUCCCAGUUCGGAUUGAGGUCUGCAACUCGACCUCAUGAAGUCGGAAUCGCUAGUAAUCGCAUAUCAGAACGAUGCGGUGAAUACGUUCCCGGGCCUUGGUACACACCGCCCGUNACACCACGAAAGUUUGUGUACCCGAAGUCGGUGCCUUAACCUCGCAAGAGGAGAG